rnacentral:lncRNA from 1 species
GCACUGAUCAGAGCUGAGUGACUGACUGACACUGCUGCAAAAACUCUACAGUCAGCUAAAUACAAACAGGUUUUAGAUACAGAGACAGCAGAACAGCAUGUGCACUGCGGCUGAAGAACACACCGUGUGGAUCGGGUUCAUGGACAUCGUUCCUGUCAUCGGGACGAAGUUGUCUCUACCUGAUAAACCAGCAGCAGCUGGAGCUGAAUUUUCUGGACUCAUAAAUGUGAGAGAGGUCAGAAAGGAAAUGAUUAUUGAAUGUGUGGCCAAAGGUUCCAAAAAGGGAACAAAAACUCCAACUCCAGCUCAGCAGAAAGAGAGACAGAAAAGAGUGGAGGCUAUUCAGAAAGACAUGUUAGAAAAGAUCCAUAUCAUCAAUCCAAACUUCAAACACGAGCUGAAGGAAGAACUGGGAAGGUCAAAAAGAGGCGAACAUGUCUUCAACAAUGGCAUUCUUAAAUUUCAUUCCAAAGUGCUGACUGAUUUUAUACAAAGCCAUCAUAUUUAUAAUCGAAGAGGAUAUAAUCAGUAG